CCUACGGGGGGCUGCAGUGGGGAAUAUUGGACAAUGGGGGGAACCCUGAUCCAGCCAUGCCGCGUGUGUGAAGAAGGCCCUCGGGUUGUAAAGCACUUUCAGUGAGGAAGAACGCCUGGUGGUUAAUACCCAUCAGGAAAGACAUCACUCACAGAAGAAGCACCGGCUAACUCCGUGCCAGCAGCCGCGGUAAUACGGAGGGUGCGAGCGUUAAUCGGAAUUACUGGGCGUAAAGCGCGCGUAGGUGGCUUGAUAAGCCGGUUGUGAAAGCCCCGGGCUCAACCUGGGAACGGCAUCCGGAACUGUCAAGCUAGAGUGCAGGAGAGGAAGGUAGAAUUCCCGGUGUAGCGGUGAAAGGCGUAGAGAUCGGGAGGAAUACCAGUGGCGAAGGCGGCCUUCUGGACUGACACUGACACUGAGGUGCGAAAGCGUGGGUAGCAAACAGGAUUAGAUACCCUUGUAGUC
rnacentral:rRNA from 1 species